CGUCGUGUCCCUUCCUCCUCUGGGAUCACCUCGAUUGGAGAGCCUUCUAGUCACUGUACAGACCCUAAGAUCUAAGGAGCGCGACUCAUGGAGCCUGGGGUCGCAAGGCUGAGAUUUGCAACUUUUCUGACUCAGCGAGGAGACAGUAGAAGACUCACAGCAGGGCAAAAGAGAAGACAGGUCCUUGAUCUGUCAGAGAUCAGAGGUUAGAGACGUCCCAACACUGGAGUACUGUACGAAUAAAAUUAGAAAAUCUAUAUGAAUUCUGCAGUGGCCAGCACUUAAGGACUCAGUGAUAGUUGUUGAUAUUAAAACAAUAUUUUUGCACGAGUGAGUAAAGGUUAAAUUGAACUCUG